GCUUCUUAUCCAAUUUUUGGGGCUGCAAAAAAUAAACUUUGUCAGCCUCUGACCAGUAAGCAAGUGAAACUCUACUAUCCUUGCAUUACCCACUUCAAAUUAAUCAAACUAAAAGCAAGUCAAGAGCAGCUUCUUAGAGUCAGACAUGGCAGUUUCAUCACUCUCAAUGACCUUGGCCCCAUCAUCAUCAUCCUCCUCCAAUAGGUUCAAUGUGCCCCAUUCAUACAGUUGAACUAGGGUUACUGCAAUUUUUCCACAAAACAUUAUCACAUGUUCAGGAGACACAACUUAUGAUGAAGACAGUAAGAUUACCACUCUUUAUCUCUUCACUUUUUCUUCUCCCUACAAAUCCCUUCACAUAUCCAAUAUCCAAACAUAGCUCAAGCAUUUUACUUCUUGUUUUUUAUGAGUGACAUGGGAUUUGCUUAUAUGUCUUUGAUGUAAUAAUGAUUUCUUGAAGAAUUUACUUCAUAACAAAUUCUUCUGGUCUUGUGAAUUCUGAAAUUAGGGCUGUAAAUUUGAUGCAAAAUUGCUAGUUAUGCCAAAGCUCUUAUGAUUAGUUUGAAUUGAGAUGGAGGUAUUUGUGUUAAUGCAUUUCUCCAAGCUCUUAUGAUUACAUUAUUUUCAUGAGGAAUGGCAUUUUGCUUAUGUUAUCUUACAAUCCUAUGCAUAAUUUUUGUUUUUUAGAUAUACCACAUUAAUGUGUGCAUAAUUUAUGAAGUCUGUUGUUUAGGAAUUUGAUUUCAGAGGGCACGAUUCUGCAUUCAAAGACCGAUAUCUGCAAUUACAAAAUGUUCGGGUGAGCGUUGGGAAUGCCCUGCACUCAAAUUUCUCUGACAACCCUGACCAAGAAUCUAUUAAACAGGAAAAGCUGAUCCUUGGAAUGCUGAGCCCUAUCGAUGAAUUCUCCAACAUAAAUAGUAGGAACAACCAGUGAAUGAUACUAAACAGAAAGCAAAGGUGUGAUGUCUGAAAGUUGAUUGCUUGAAGAGGUAAUAUGUUAGUAACUUGAGAUCCUUUGUGAUUGUUAAUGUUAAUUGGAUGGUUAUAGGCAAUGUAUGAAGAAGUUUAUGACAAGCUCACAUGUGAUUGAUCCGUGUUACAUCUAGUGAUUCUUUAAGGAUGUAUGGCCUGCAGCCCAUCGUUUUGGCCCGGGUCCAGUCUCGCCCUCCUAUCUCAGAAGUGAACAGGCUUGCAACAUGUUGAGAAGUGCUUAGAUGUAGUUGCUACUUUGCAACCUAAGAAGGGUACUGGCGAGGCAUUAUUAGUUGAUUUUGAAGUGUCAGAAGGCAUCUAUUCCCGAGCAUGCAUCGAGGAUACUGAUUCAGUAUGUUUAUGGCUGGGAGCAAAUGUCAUGCUGGAGUACUCAUGUGAAGAGGCCACUGAUCUUCUACAAAAGAAUUUGGAAAAUGCUAGAGCUAGUUUAGAAGUUCUUGUUACAGAUCUACAAUUCUUAAGGGAUCAAGUGACCAUUACUCAGGUGUUGCAGGCCCAAGUGGAUAUGGAUCAAACUCAACAGCUGAGCAAGUUACUCAACAAGAUUGUUCUUUCUUACUCCCUUCUUCUCAAGCUCAACUCACUGCAUUAGUCACUGGUUAGUCAUCUCAUCUCCAACCACACACAAACACACAACACAUACACAAACUUCUUUAUGAUGAAGAACAGUGCCCAUUUCCCCCCCUUCUGAAUCUGGUCUUCAUUUAAACAUACACAUUCUGAUCUGUCCAUGAGAGAGACUUCAUUAUAUAUUUAGAAAUGCAUCAAGUUUGAUAUUGUUGCAGAAUUUUUAUGUUCUUUUUUUUUUCUUCCUAUAUUUUUAUUUGUUUAUUUCUUCUUCUUCUUCUUCUUCUUCUUCUUCUUCUUUUUGUAGUUUUGUGAGUUCACAAAAUUGAAGUAGGGUUUCAGAGAA